UACGUAGAAGACUAGUGUUAUUCAUCUUUAAUAGGUUUAAAGGGUACCUAGACGGUAUAAUUAGUCUAAAAUAAGAUACGGUUAUACUAGAGUUAUAUAUGAGGAGGUGAGUAUUUAUGGAGUAGAGUUGAAAUUCGAUCAUCCCAUGACGACUGGUAUCGGCGAAAGCAACCUUUUAUCUAAUAACUGACGUUGAGGGACGAAGGCUCGGGUAACGAACAGGAUUAG
rnacentral:rRNA from 1 species